rnacentral:tRNA from 1 species
GAGUAACGCCAUGGUAAGGCGUAAGUCAUCGGUUCAAAUCCGAUAAAGGGCU